UCCUGGCUCAGGAUGAACGCUGGCGGCGUGCCUAAUACAUGCAAGUCGAGCGAACGGACGAGAAGCUUGCUUCUCUGAUGUUAGCGGCGGACGGGGGAGUAACACGUGGAUAACCUACCUAUAAGACUGGGAUAACUUCGGGAAACCGGAGCUAAUACCGGAUAAUAUUUUGAACCGCAUGGUUCAAAAGUAAAAGACGGUCUUGCUGUCACUUAUAGAUGGAUCCGCGCUGCAUUAGCUAGUUGGUAAGGUAACGGCUUACCAAGGCAACGAUGCAUAGCCGACCUGAGAGGGUGAUCGGCCACACUGGAACUGAGACACGGUCCAGACUCCUACGGGAGGCAGCAGUAGGGAAUCUUCCGCAAUGGGCGAAAGCCUGACGGAGCAACGCCGCGUGAGUGAUGAAGGUCUUCGGAUCGUAAAACUCUGUUAUUAGGGAAGAACAUAUGUGUAAGUAACUGUGCACAUCUUGACGGUACCUAAUCAGAAAGCCACGGCUAACUACGUGCCAGCAGCCGCGGUAAUACGUAGGUGGCAAGCGUUAUCCGGAAUUAUUGGGCGUAAAGCGCGCGUAGGCGGUUUUUUAAGUCUGAUGUGAAAGCCCACGGCUCAACCGUGGAGGGUCAUUGGAAACUGGAAAACUUGAGUGCAGAAGAGGAAAGUGGAAUUCCAUGUGUAGCGGUGAAAUGCGCAGAGAUAUGGAGGAACACCAGUGGCGAAGGCGACUUUCUGGUCUGUAACUGACGCUGAUGUGCGAAAGCGUGGGGAUCAAACAGGAUUAGAUACCCUGGUAGUCCACGCCGUAAACGAUGAGUGCUAAGUGUUAGGGGGUUUCCGCCCCUUAGUGCUGCAGCUAACGCAUUAAGCACUCCGCCUGGGGAGUACGACCGCAAGGUUGAAACUCAAAGGAAUUGACGGGGACCCGCACAAGCGGUGGAGCAUGUGGUUUAAUUCGAAGCAACGCGAAGAACCUUACCAAAUCUUGACAUCCUUUGACAACUCUAGAGAUAGAGCCUUCCCCUUCGGGGGACAAAGUGACAGGUGGUGCAUGGUUGUCGUCAGCUCGUGUCGUGAGAUGUUGGGUUAAGUCCCGCAACGAGCGCAACCCUUAAGCUUAGUUGCCAUCAUUAAGUUGGGCACUCUAAGUUGACUGCCGGUGACAAACCGGAGGAAGGUGGGGAUGACGUCAAAUCAUCAUGCCCCUUAUGAUUUGGGCUACACACGUGCUACAAUGGACAAUACAAAGGGCAGCGAAACCGCGAGGUCAAGCAAAUCCCAUAAAGUUGUUCUCAGUUCGGAUUGUAGUCUGCAACUCGACUACAUGAAGCUGGAAUCGCUAGUAAUCGUAGAUCAGCAUGCUACGGUGAAUACGUUCCCGGGUCUUGUACACACCGCCCGUCACACCACGAGAGUUUGUAACACCCGAAGCCGGUGGAGUAACCUUUUAGGAGCUAGCCGUCGAAGGUGGGACAAAUGAUUGGGGUGAAGUCGUAACAAGGUAGCCGUAUCGGAAGGUGCGGCUGGAUCACCU
rnacentral:rRNA from 1 species